GGGUACAGAGGCUGGAGUCCAAUCAUGUAUGGAGAGUUAUUGUAUCAAUUGAACAAGGGGUAUGGUGUACUCCUUGUUUGACAAAUUGAUUUAUUGUGAAUUAACUCUUGCCUGCUUCCCAAAAAGAGUCUGAGCCUGGAUUUUGAACCCCACUCAUCUCAAGGAUUCUCUGUGUGACCUUGCAGCUAGAGAGCAAGGUCAGACACCUGUGCAGCCCUCCAGGAAAACACCCAGCUUCUGGCUGGGGCGCAAGCUGGAGUCCUCAGGCCUGCCUGUCACUGGAGCCCCUGGGAGUGGUGAUGAUAAACCAGGUACUGGACGGAGAGGGAGGAGGAGCAACAGGCGAGACAGAGAACUGUGGCAUCCGCAGGAGCUCGAAAGAAAGGAAGUCGUCCCCACUUAGUCUAGUGGGUACUUGUAACCACUGAUAGUACCUGUAUAUGCUGGGUACCUGUGACCAUGCACAGUACUGAACCCUGAGUAUGUUGACACCUGUGACUCUGGAGAGUACUGAACCCUGUGUAUGCUGAAUACCUGUAACCAUGAUGAGUACUGACCCCUCUAUAUACUGAGUACCUGUAACCAUGGAGAGUACUGAACCCUGUGUAUGCUGAGUACCUGUGACCCUGGGGGGUACUGAGCCCUGUGUAUGCUGAGUACCUGUGACCCUGGAGAGUACUGAGCCCUGUGUAUCCUGAGUACCUGUGACCAUGGAGAGUACUGAGCCCUAUGUGUGCUGAGUACCUGUGACCACAGAGAGUACUGAGCCCUGUGUAUGCUGAGUACCUGUGACCUUGGAGAGUACUGAACCCUGUGUAUGCUGAGUACCUGUGACCCUGGAGAGUACUGAGCCCUGUAUAUGCUAAGUACCUGUGACCAUGGAGAGUACUGAACCCUGUGUAUGCUGAGUACCUGUGGCCCUGGAGAGUACUGAGCCCUGUGUAUGCUGAGUACCUGUG
rnacentral:lncRNA from 1 species